rnacentral:rRNA from 1 species
GAUAAACGCUGGCGGCGCACAUAAGACAUGCAAGUUGAACGGACUUAAUCGAAAUAUUUAUAUUUUGAAGCGGUUAGUGGCGGACUGGUGAGUAACGCGUAAGGAACCUGCCUAUUAGAGGGGAAUAACAGUGAGAAAUCAUUGCUAAUACCGCAUAUGCCAUAGAUAUCACAUGAUAACAGUGGGAAAGGAGCAAUCCGCUAAUAGAUGGCCUUGCGUCUGAUUAGAUAGUUGGUGGGGUAACGGCCUACCAAGUCGACGAUCAGUAGCCGGACUGAGAGGUUGAACGGCCACAUUGGGACUGAGAUACGGCCCAGACUCCUACGGGAGGCAGCAGUCGGGAAUAUUGCGCAAUGGAGGAAACUCUGACGCAGUGACGCUGCGUAUAGGAAGAAGGUUUUCGGAUUGUAAACUAUUGUCGUUAGGGAAGAGAAAGGACAGUACCUAAGGAGGAAGCUCCGGCUAACUACGUG